rnacentral:rRNA from 1 species
UACGGAGGGUCCAAGCGUUAUCCGGAAUCAUUGGGUUUAAAGGGUCCGUAGGCGGGUUUAUAAGUCAGUGGUGAAAGCCCAUCGCUCAACGAUGGAACGGCCAUUGAUACUGUAGAUCUUGAAUUAUUAGGAAGUAACUAGAAUAUGUAGUGUAGCGGUGAAAUGCUUAGAGAUUACAUGGAAUACCGAUUGCGAAGGCAGGUUACUACUAAUGGAUUGACGCUGAUGGACGAAAGCGUGGGUAGCGAACAGG